AAAAGGCGGUACUCUCCAAGGAAUCUUCGGGUUCAGGAGUGGGAUGCAGUGGCUGGGCGACCGGCUUACUGUAUCUGCGGAGUACCUAACCCAGACCUAACUAACGUUAGACAAAAAGCAGUUGUAGGGACUGCCUCCAUUAAAUGAACCCCUUAUUUUUGAGUUGAAUUCAAACAGAAUUUUUAUACUUUUACAGCUGAGUCUUGAGUGUUUGUAUUAAUUAAAAUAAGUGGACACGCAAUAGUAAGUACAUCUAAAUGGGAGAGAUAUUGUUUUU
rnacentral:telomerase_RNA from 1 species